GUAAAAUUUCAAGUAAGAAUUAGAAGGUCUUUUAUGGUGACUAUUAAAUCCACACUGAAUCACAGAGAUGCAAACUAGAAGGAGCCUCUGGAAGUCAGCUGGUCCAGCCUCCCUUUCAAAGCAGGACUUGUAUUUGUGAUACCACAGAUCACCAGUGGCUUUUUCUAGUCAAGUGUUGAAAUCUUCAAAGAAUAGAGACUGCACAGCCGUUCAGGAGCACUUGUUUCCUUGUUAGGACUGUCUGAUGCUACUAAUAAAAAGUGGACAACAACACUGAGCAGCACUGAAGGAAAUUCCGAGGACAGGAAGAAGUUGUACAUUUUCAGAACCACUCCAUAAGAGUGUAUUUUGAAAAAAGGCCAGUUUUCUUCUUAAUCUGAACAAGUGUAUUAAGACCCAUUAAGCCGAAAAUUGCUUUCCUGCUCUCAGGAACACUCUCUUACAAAGUACAGGUUAAUGAUUGCAAAAUUCGUUCAAGGUAAUAAAAUCUUUGCUCAGUAGAAUUCAGAGGCAGCUUCUUACUGAGCAGAGUUUUACCAUCGAGAAUUAAAUAAUCUCUGUUUAGCAUACUAUGUUUCAGUUACCCUUUUUUUCUUUCCUCCCCAAAACACUGAAACUAAUGCAACAAGCUGGUGUAACAAUAUGAUGCUAAUGAAGAUAGCUUCCCUCUAGAAACACAAGACAUGAAAACUUUUUAGACCAGAAAAAGAGGCUGUACUGGAAAACAAAAUACUUCUUUUCUGUCUUGCUCACUCCUUUUGGGGGAAAAAAAAAAACUUUCCUUCCAUGUGUCUAAUGUUUUAUCACUGUAAGUUAAGUAGUGGUAGCAAUAACUUUGUAAGUCAGUGUGUUGAAAAGUGAAGUAUAUUUACCAGAGAAACCUGUAUGUACCAGUGGGGGCAAGAAAGGAAUAGUGAAAGAAAUUCUGCAAUCUGAGCUAGUAGAGGAAGUGAAUAUUACAGUGGUCUGCAUGUCUUUGAGUACCAAUAAGUGAGAAACCCAGUAAUCUAAAAGGCCGGUGGGUAGGUAUUUUUCUUUGCUGUUAAACAGUUACUGAGAAGUCAGCAUAAAUAGCCCCUUAUCUCUUGUUCUCAUUAUAUAUCAUGGUUUUUCUGUUUUCUGCACAAAACUCAAGGAUCUAGAAUCUUGAAAGGUUGCAACUUGCUGAUACCCCUGAAAAGUAACUUACAUGUUUACAAGCAGCCCGUACUGUUGUCAUUCUGCUGUUUUUAUUUCUUUUUUUCCUGAAAAAGUGCUGCAAGAAAUCACUGAAAGAGUCUCAGUUGGAAUUUUCUGGUUUUCCGGUGAAAAUGGGAGAGCAGUGUAACAGAGGGAAAAAGUCAAUUAAAGGGAAAGGGAACAUUUGACACUUCUGCAUAAUUAAUCUACAAUGCCAUUAAACUCUUCUACAGAAAACAAAGAACAACCAUGGGUAGCUUAUGGAAAAGAAGUUCUUUCUGAGAAACUUCUAAGCAUGAUAUCAUUGCCAGUGGCAUGUACCCUACACAAGUAAGUGACGAAACAGGAAACUGGAACAGAAAGAAUAGGGAAGAAGAAAAGUCUACCAUAAAGAACUUGCUAUCUCACCAGGAACUACAGAGUCAGAAAUGUGUGUAUCUAAAUGUGAGCAAAGCCAUGAAACAAACGUCUAAUUGAAUAAGUUUGGCCAAUUCAGUACAUAAUAGAAAAUGUUUAUGUGAUGUCAUCACUGAAUUAUUUCUAGCUGAGAGACUCAUGUACUGCUGUGGUGUUCUUUCAGAAGGUUGGUUAUGUGUCCUUUUCCAUACUAAUGGAGUGAACAAUCUAAUAGUUUUGGGUUGUUGUAUGUAGAUGUAAAUUCAAAGUAGAGAUGCUCUCAUCUUUAUUCAAGAAAACAGUGCUUGUUUGUGCUACAUUCAAAGGCAGGUAGAAAUGCAUUGAUGGAAGAAUCCUAUCCUCAAAUAUAUAGCUGCUGUUAAAAAAGAAGUCCUUACUUCCAGCUGAUCUACCUGAGGAGCGAGCUUUUAGGUGGUCUCAGAAGUGAUAACCUCUGAAUUCUACAACAUCAGGAAACUUUGAGGAAGUGUCAGAGACGAGACUUCCAACAUUGUUGUAAUAUUUUGGAGACUGUAUUUAAUUUGGGGAUUUUUUUUUAUUUUUUUAUUUUUUGGUAAGGGUAUAUAAGUACUGGCUUUACUAUGUAAAGAAAGUACAUAUUGUAAACCUAGAAUGUGAAAGAAGAAGUGAUAAUGAAGUAAAUUCUUAACACUGUAAGAAAUCUGUUGGAUUAGCUUUUAUGCUGUAUGUAAAUCAGGAUUGUACUUUUCUCCUCUACAUAUGUGUUCUUUUUCAUUACUUUCAGUUUUUGUUGGGCAAAAGCCUGAUAGGAAUAUUAUAAAAGCAAAAUUAAAGGUAUAACUGCUAGAAUAAAACUAACUGAAAUAAAGACAAGCAAAUGCUAAGUGUUGCAUCUCACGGGGAGUCAAAAGGUGGAUGGCCGAUCAAGCAGAUGUUACUCAACACUUUUUGAGAACUGGCAAAUAAUUAGAAGAAAAUACAGCUGGAAUGCAAUCUAACAAAGAAUCAACUCAAAUGUUUCAGAUCAGCAGGAUCUGUUUAAUGUGUCAGCUUCAUUCCUCAAGCAUUAACCUGCAGAUAAGCAUGACAUAGAGCUGCAGCUUCUUAACCACACAAACUGGAUGAAAUUUUGUUUCAAAUAUUUCUGAACUGCAGCCCAUCAGGUUAGUGCUUAGAUCCUCUAGUUCUGAAGUUGUUUGGUUAAGGAAUAAAUGUUUUUCCUUCCAGUCCAUUAAGGAGAUUAAUAUAUUCUUCAUUAGUCUGAAAUUGGUUCACUCCUUUAAUUAUGGGAAGCUUUAUUGCUAAGCAGUUGCAUGAAAGAAAUAUUAGGUCUGAGAAGUUACUUUCAACGUUACUAUUUGCAAAUUAAUGGUAUCUUUAUUCAAAUGAGAAGCAAUGCUUAGGUUACGAAGAGCACUAUAAUAAGAUGUAUAAUUUGAAAAUUUAGCUUGAAUCUCUAUUAAUAAUGCUCUUAACAGGGUCAUAAAAUAGCUGUUUGAAACUCUACCUCUCAGCUUAGAGAUGGUAUAGCUGAAAUACACACUUAUUAGGGCAGAGACAACAGGACUCCAAUCUGUAUCUGCAUAUGUACCAAAUUGUGCAGCACCUACCUGAAGUAAUUGUGUCCCUUAAUUAUGUUUUAUGAUCAGCAAAUUCUUAACUUUUCAGAAUGUUCUUACUAUGCUUCCUGGUCUUCAUGGCACAUUCUACAGGAAUGUUUUCUGCAGUGACCCUGCAUACAGGCAGCAAACUUAAAGCAAAUGGCUGAGCUCUUUCCCCAAGCUACAGAAGAUAUUGCAGUAGUAUGCCCUGUUUGCUCUCAGACAGGAAGCAUCCACUGAGAUUCUUAAGACAGGUGAGACUAGAAACCAAAACAUCACAGCUGGAAUGACUAACGAUACAUUAUUUCCUAAAAGGAAAAACUUUAGUUUUGGUGAUGAAAUGAGUUAGACAUGGCUGGUUUUGCUACUUCUCAGAAUCUUGGGAUAGGAUAAGCAGUGCCUAAGUGAGUGUGUUAUUGCUGGAUAAAUAUGUAAAAUAGAACUUUAGGGAGAUUAAUUCUCAAUAACACUAAAUGCCUUUUCCUGUUCAAUGUACUGCAUGGUCCAUUAAGCAUAUGCAACUGCUACAACCCCCAGGCUUCUAUUUAGGUUCUCCUAGGGGAGGAAAGAGCCUGGGUUUUGGCCAAACAAAAUAAAAUACAUGCUGUGGAAUUCUGUUUAACUGCAGAGAAUGAAAUUAUUGCUACACUUUAUAGAAUAUGCUUAGUAAUGCAGUAAGAAUUUACUUUAUAAACUUUUUAGAGGAGAGGUCAUGUAAUUUUAAGUCCUUGAGGAUGCAUUAUGGGUUAGAGUGAUGUAGAAGGCUCAGAUCACUUUAUCUCAAUUUGCCCCAGGUGUCCUACUUCACCAAUGACCCCAUCAAAAACAGUGGCACUAACGUGAAAUUAAGACAAUGAAAAUCAUGAAUCAAAAUAUUAUAAGCAGUUGUUUGUUUCUGCUUAAUUAAAAUCUGUAUCUGCUUGUUUACUGCUACUUGUUCUUUGUAUUAACAAGCUUGGCUGUGUCUCACACAUCUGAAGAAGCCAAGGAAAGUAUUAAGUACUUUGAUAUUCCUCUGUCUCUCUAAUACAAGAAAAUUUUUUGGGUUUGCAACCAUGCGAGUCUGUCUUUGAAAAUGUUUAGUCUUAACUAAUGCAGUUGAAGGUUAUGGCUUUUUUUGUGUGUGUCUACAAGGGCCUGUCACUGCAGCAUUAUGAAAAAUUUGCAUAUAAAGCAUCUGGUUUAAGAACAUUGUUUGCAUAUUAUGUAACUUUCAUAUGUAUUUCCAGUGUCAUAAUGAAGUAAUAGUGUUUGAUUUGCUGUUCAUGGGUCAGCAAGUGUUAUUUGUUUAUUUAGUGCUGGUAGUUUUGCUUUCUCUCUGUUUACCCAGAAAGAUAUUUCCACGUUUUUUUCCUGAGAGGAGAGGGGAAGUGUUUACAACUGGGACAAGGAAAUUCUGGCAUACGUUUGGCAGUGUUGAGCUCUGUGAGUUCAGCAGCAAGCCACUGUUCAUUUUGUUUGUCAACACAAAGCUCAUAGAACAUGGCACAGUAAAGAAAAUUUGUAAUAUCUCACCUAUCCGUAAGAGCUGCUGUGUCCUUUUCCCCUUAAGUAAUAGUUUCCUGUAAAGUUUUAGGUAAGUGCAGAUUCCCUUCCCUGUUGUCAUCAUAACUGGUUUUCUGGAUCAGGCUGAGCUACACCAGUGUGCUCUUAAUUAAAAAUGAUCAGACAAACUCCAGGGCCAUGGGACAUCUGAGCCUGAAUGAGGCUUUAACAUGGCUUUGUUUUACCACAGAUGUUUAUUUACCAUCACCGUCCUUAGCUUUACUAAUUCUGCUUCCUUUCCAUCCACCAACCUGAAACCCAGUUGUCAUUCCAGGCACAAAGACAUGUAAAUGAGGUGUCCUAUUAAACUGAUAUUGUCAAAUGUGAUGUGAGCAAGUGAGCUGCACUCCUCUCAUCAGUGAUACCGAUGACUAUGCUGGUGCUGUUCCCAAGGCAAGAAAGGGGCAGGCAUUGCUUCCUGUAGAUUUUCAUGUUUUCUUCCCUGCUAGACAGGACUGCAAACUAAACUUCUGAGACCAAGGGAAAUCAAUAUUCAUAUUAUUUCAGCUUUUUCAGAUAUCGUAUCUGAGAACCAUUCUUCAUGUCAGAAUUCUGGUUUCUGUAUAUUGUGUGCUGUGCCUCUGAGAAAUCCACAGAAAUGCGAUUUUCAGUCUGCCGUAUUUUGCACGUUGUAUGCACAGCCAUCAGUGCUGAAAGCAGUCUCACGUCAGGACUGUAGGAAUUGUCAGAAAGCACUAUUUUUCUGUCAGUUGAGCAAAGGCUUUUUGUGGAAAGCAAAUGAAACCACAGUACUUUUUAAAUUUGUAAGCAUGCUUUCUGUAGUGUUCAUCCAUGUGGCCAACCUGAAGGAAUUGAGUCAUCGCUUCAGAUCUUGUGAGAGAGAAAUGGGUGAAAAUUGCCAAUGUAACAUGCUUCACUUAUCCACCAGGAAAAUGUAUCUAGGCAAACCUAGAGACUUGAAAUGUGAAGAGCUGCAAUUUCCUAUCUGCUCUGUAUUAUCACAGGAGUGAGGAUUUUGGUUAGUCUGAUCCAGCAAGAAUUAGCCAAAAUCCCUAGGGUAGAAAGGUAGUUACAUGAACCCACACUUAACUAGCCUUCUGCAGUAAUUUCUAGGCUAGCCUAGAAAAAUGUUUGUUCCACUUGGCAUAGUCUUUAUGGAGGAACAAACCUCCACUGCAUACAAAAUAAAAGGAAGAAAGUUUAUAAAGGGGAUAUAUGAAGAAGCCUUGUUUCAGCAUACAUGGAGUUCUUUUUCUAAUUACUCCCCAUAUUCGGCUCUGUUGUCUUAGAGCAAGUUCAUCUCUGUGUGAUUGCUGAUUAAUCUUUGUAGGUUUUUGUUUGUUGUGGGUUUAAUGUUUUUGUUUUAGGACAGAGGAAUGGUGUUUCUCACAAUGGGAGAAUAAGCUUGUUUGGAUUUCUUUUCAACUUCAAGCCUCAGAGUUGCAAAGGACUUCCUCAAAGAUUUAUAACGCUCAGUCUUGGGCACAUCAGAUUCCUCUCUUGUGUAUGUGUCCCCUUUCUCCCUUUCUGGAUGGUUAGCAAGGACCACGAGAUGGAUCAGAUUGAAUGACCUCCUGUUUAUCAUGGGACACUGCAUUCAGAUGGAAAUGCCAUGUUAAGCUUAGUAAGAUAAGAGCAUUUCCGUCCUUAUGAGAGUGAGCUGUGUGCUGCAGUCUGGGAACGGGAUAUCCGGUGUCACCAGUAGUGCUGGUCAUGCGGCCAGGACAUCCGGAGAGAAUCCUGACCUGAUCAUAGCUGGUCCUGCUUUCAGCAGGAGGACAAUUAGAGACAUUCUGAGGUCUUUUCCAACCUGAAAUUAAAUGUCAUCCUAAGAAGGGAUGCUGUUUUCAAUGCUGUAGCAACAAAUUAAUAUCCAAAAUAAUAGCCAGUCUGACAUAGGAGAAUGAUUUCCUGAUAGCAGAUUUGACAGUCUGACCAUCAAUCUGGUCUUGAGUUUGGGAUUUAAAAAUUAAAGGUUUUCUAUGCCACCUCAGUGUAGCUGUUUUCUCACUCUAGCUUGUCACUUAAUCAUCUCCCAAAUAUACCUAGUUUCAAAUAUAUAAACUGAUAUCUGUAUAGAAAAAUAUCUUCUAAUACAAAUGUUUUGCUGGGAUCAGUUAUGUAUGAGAAGCAAGAAUAGUCUUUUUCUUGACCUUUGCUGAUGAAUGCCAAAAGUGUGGGUUUUGCUUACAUAUAUCUUAUAGCAGUACUGUGGGUGUUAUAAGCAGGUCGAUAACAAAUCCAUUCUGUCUCCAGUCUGCCCACAUAAAUUCACAGAUUAAUUAGUCAGCAGAGACCACAAGGAGGAUACAAUCUACAUGCUUAUAAACAAGCCAGUCUGUGCUGAAUACACAUAAGAACCUUAUGUUAUUUAAUGUAAGAGGCAAAUAUGAAACAGCAUAAGGGAAAAGGGAAGUAAUUAUAUUAAUUCUAGAGAAGUUUCUAGGGUAUUCUAUCCAUUGCUUUGAAUUCCAAUUAAAACUAGUUUCUAGUCAAGAGCUUCUGAGAUCAGGUUCUUUAUUUGGAUCUGAAACUCAGAAGGCUUACCUUUUUAAAACAGAGAAAAUAUUAGAAAGAAUUGUCUCUUGUAGAUCUCACAGGUUUUGUUUGUUUAUUUUCAGAAUGAAAGUUUUCAUGUAAAAUGUGUGCUUGCACCUCAGGUGUUUUUUUUUUUUUAAUGUCAUGUGUAUGAAAAUGUGAUGUUUCAUAUUGCAAAUGAAGCAAUUCAAAGAACGGACUUUACUGUUGAUUCAGUUGGUCCUACGCCUGAACAGUUUGGACUUGGUCAAUUGAAGAACUUCAAUAUGUUAACAGUCAUAAGUACAUGUGACCAUUCUUACUCUAAAUGCUCUCACUCUUGAUUACUGUUUUCUGAUGGGAACAUUGUUUUUCUCCCAACAAAACAAUGGUAAAUAGAUGUUUCAGAUCAACGGGUAAGCAUCUGAAAAAUAAUUAUAGAUAUAUUUUAAAAAAAAAGAAGAAAAAAAAACAGGGAAGCAAGAGUUAUAACUUGAUUUAGUGUUGCCAGUGGUGAAAUCAGAAAUUGCAAUUACUGAUGUCUGCAAAAUCUCUGCAUUUUUCUGAGAUAACCAAAUUUUCAGUACUCUUUUGUAGAACAGGGACUACUCGUGCUUAUUUUAAUAUUAUGACAAAUUACCAUAACACACGUAUUUGAGACACUUCAGUGCACUGUGUGCAUCAUUCUUGUUGAAGGACUUAGAUGUGUGCUCAAGAAUAUAAAUUUGCUUUAAUUUUCACUGGAUUCAACUUGCAGAUGUGUAGAUCUGUGUGGUUUGUAGGUAGUGUAUCACAGAUUUAAAAGCGUGUUUUCUUUUCUGGAUCUAAACCUUUUAUGACAAAUGAAGAAUCUUUGUGGUGUGAAAUUUGUGAAACAAUGAAUAUUUUUUGAAUCCUAUAAACAAAAUAUUUUUUAGAAAGGACAUCAAACUUUAGGCUUCAAAUAUCUGUCAAGAAUGGAAAUCAUAGAAAAUAUUCUUCUCAAAAAAGCAAUGUUUAACUACUUCCAUAUUUUAAUUUAAUAACUGUCAAGUGCUGAAAAUAGAUUUGUGCCUUGGCCAACCCUUAGUCUGUUUUUUCUCUGAAUUGGAAGGGUUCAGUUCACAAAGAAUCUCUUCUUUUCAACAUAAAUGUGUUGAGUUGUAGCUUAAAGCUUUGAUCUCAAUUACAAUCGUUGCUCUGUUGGUGUAUUUCUGUGUAUUUUAUGAGACCCUGAAUGUUAUUUUGUUUUGUGGCUGUUACCUGUACCACUACUAUUCUGUUGCUCUCUGCAGUGUGCAUUACCCACCAGAGGGAGCCAAAGCCAAGAACCGUCAGAUUUUGCUUUGCCUUUCAAUUUUCAGAGGUUCCCUACUGAAAGUCAUCUCCUCCACAACACAGUGCUUUAGAUUCAGGUCUCUGUCUUCAGGUUAGUCAUUCUUAAAUUGUAUUAAGCUCUAUUUUCAUUAAUACAUGUAAAGGGCCCAAGCUUCUAAAAAUUACUUAAGCUAAAGUUGGGUGCUAUGGUUAGGAGCCUGAUAAGUCCCACAACAAAUAUUUCUUUCCAAAUUUUCAAUUUUCUGGAGAAUGUUAACAGCUAAUUUAUUUACAGCAAACCUGAAAGAUUAUCACUUACACCUCCUAUUCUAAUGUCUACUGAGCAAUCAUGUUUUCGUAUAUGCAUUAUUUACUUCUAAGUUUGCAAACACGUUAUUAACACUACUAGUCAUCAGGCAUUGAGGUGAUGCAUUUAUAGGCAUUAUAGGGAGUGAGUAAAUAAAAUGGAAGCUGGAAAUAGGAACCAUUAAAUCAAAUCUGUUGUAUCCGUAAAUAAAUGUUAUGGAUAUAAUGAAGCUGAUGGAUUUUCUUGUAUUUCUAGGUAAUAAUUGGCUGAGAUUAGUAAUUAAUUAUAUUUGCAUCAGAUAUACAAGCAAACCUGUCUGCUAAGCAGACAUACAUUUUUUAAUGGGAAGCACAGCUGGGCUCAGAGCUUGAUUCCUUGCAUUGAAAACUGGACUUAUGUGAAAGAUGCCUAAAAUGAUGACCUCCACCUGCUUCCCCCAUUCACCUGCUGCCUGAUAUUUUAGGUAUUUCACUUUCUUCCAGUAAUGCCCAGAAACAGUUCCAUCUUGACAGAGUUGAGCAACUCAGUAUUUAUAAACCUAUUUUUUUAUAUCUGCAAAACAUUCUUAAAGCAUUUCCUAGUUGCAGCUGGCCGUAUGAACAUAUAUAGUCUUUAGCAAAAGGUGGAAUUUUCUUUGUACUAUAAGAGGCAGGAAAACUCAUAUAUCAUAUAUGAAGCUGGUCCUUACUACCUCUAAGCUGCUUGCUACUUGCUCAAGUCAUUUGUCAUUCUAAAUGCAUCCUAAAUGCUGUGUCAUAAUUUGCCUUCUCCAACACCAUUAGUAUAUCAGUCACAGGAAUCAGAGAAAUCUGAUGGAAGCCUUUGAAAGUUCCUUAACUAACAGGCCUGCGUAUUUUCUACACCACAGAUUGUAGGUAAUCAGCCUGUUAGACCUCCUCUGAGAUUAUUUUUCAAAUUCAAAAUCUUGUCAUAGAAAAAUGGUCACACACAACCCCAGUUUUGGCUCAGGUUUCUGUUCCUUGAUAGAAACUUUUCAUGAGGAAGGUAUGAGAAAGUUUAUAUCAAAUUGCUGUCUAAUAGAGUUUGCUGUACAGCUUUCUCAAUUAGAAAUUGUUUUAUAUAGCAAAGCAUGAGAUUUUAAUAGUUUCUGAAUGUCUGUAUAAUUCUAUCUGUAUAUUAUCUAAAGUACAAAGAGCUCUUUAUCCCUAUUUCAGCAUAACAGAGAGGGUGAUUAAUUUGUGUUUAUUUUGUCAUCAAUUUAGUUGUAUAAUGGCAUAGCUUGUUGGGAUUUUUUAUAGGUGUUUUCCCAUAUUUAAAUGGGAAUUAAUCUGUCAAAUGUAGUUAACAGAAAUGUGAAAAUUUCAAAAAGAUUAGCAAGAGACUUCUGAGUUUAAAAAACAAAGGAAAUCUUCAAUUGCGCAGUUUCCAGUGGUACCUCCUCACCAGUGGCUAUUGAAUAACAGUGCUGUAAGACACUAUGAAUGUGCAUUUUGUGAUUUUCUUAAUAAAAAUGGGAGAAAAUCUUACAAACAUUUUGAAAGAGGAGAUGAUUUAUAUUGUAAUGUAUUUCAGAUGCAGUUACUUAGCUAUAAGGUGACCCUUUAGUCACAACUUCUCCUUUUAGUUCUCUUGGAUUGCUUUUUACUCUGCUCCUAAUUAUUUUUGACAGCUUUUUUCCUUUGUUUCUCUACAUAAUUCCCCACUGUCAUUUCAAUCUUUCUCUUA